rnacentral:rRNA from 1 species
UACGUAGGUGGCGAACGUUAUCCGGAAUUACUGGGCGUAAAGGGUCCGUAGGCGGGGCUGUCAGUCUGCUGUGAAAGCUUCCGGCUCAACUGGAAGAAGCCAGCGGAUACUACAGUUCUGGAAUCCGGCAGAGGUCGGCAGAAUUCCCGGUGUAGUGGUGGAAUGCGUAGAGAUCGGGAGGAAUACCGAAGGCGAAGGCCGCCGGCUGGGUCGAGAUUGACGCUGAGGGACGAAAGCGUGGGGAGCAAACAGG